rnacentral:rRNA from 1 species
UGUCUACUUGUAUAUAUAAGUAGUCUAACCUGCCCACUGAUAAUUAGUUUAAAGGGCCGCGGUACUCUGACCGUGCAAAGGUAGCAUAAUAAUUAGGUCUUUAAUUGAGAUCUUGUAUGAAUGGUUGGACAAAAGAAACACUGUCUCUAUAAUAUGAAUUGAAUUUAACUCUUAAGUGAAAAGGCUUAAAUAUUUUAGAAAGACGAUAAGACCCUAUAAAGCUUGAAUAUAAUGUUAUUAACUUAUUUUAAUUCUUUAACUAUAAAAUUUUAGUUAUAAAUUUAUAUUUUAUUGGGGCGAUAAAAGUAAAAUUAUUAUUAACUGCUUUAGGAUACUACAAAAAUAAGUGAGUUACAGUUUGUAAAUGAUCCUCUGUAGAGAUUAAAAGAUUAAGUUACUUUAGGGAUAACAGCGUUAUUUUUUUUGAGAGUUCAUAUCGAAAAAAAAGUUUGCGACCUCGAUGUUGAAUUAAGAUAUCUUUGUGAUUGCAGCAGUACAAAAGAAG